AUGAUCGCUGCUGUGUUUGGAACUCGUAUUAGCCAUUUGGGCUCUGACGUACAGAAGAAAUUGAAAGCGGCCUAUACUCUGAUAGAGCAGCUGUAUACCGGUGCGCAGCGGAUCAUCUGCACCGCUUCACACAAUAAACCUCCUCCAACAUUGAUCAAGGACACCUUAGAAAGGCUAUCCAUGCUGCUUGCCCAGGUUGAAGAACUAAAGAAAGCUGCGGCAAGGGCCGGAGCUCUGACCGCUCUAACUCGGGCAAAGGCGUGGGUGCCUGAUCUUGAUCCGGUGGACGUGGCUAAAGGCUUCCCAAGCUUAAAAGAAGACGGAUCAGAAUUUGGCCAGGAGGAUCUCCGCGCCAUAAACCGGGAAGUACGUCCACUAGCUUGUCAAUUGGCUGAAGAAGCUGAUCUCUCAUACUAUCAGGCAAGUUAUGAUGACAAGAACAGACGGGUUGCUGCACCAAUUCCGGAAGCGCAAAAUCUGAUCCUCCAAUCCGUAAGCACACUUAUGCCCCUGAUAUUGAACCGUCCACCCUUAUAA
rnacentral:rRNA from 1 species